CCCGAGCUCAUCGAUCCGAGGGGGCCCAUCCCAGCCCACGUUCUGGGCAACAUGUGGGCUCAGUCCUGGGUCAACGUCUUAGACCUGGUCCUGCCCUUCCGGAGAAGCCCCCCGAGGACAUCACGAAGAUCAUGUGAGGCCAGGUCAGCGCUCGACCUCGGUCUGCCCCUGCCCACUCCGCAGCCCUGAGUGGGGCCCCACGCACUUCCUCUUCCUCACAGCAGUGGAAGUCUGAGAAAAUGUUCCAAGAGGCUGAAAAAUUCGUCACCUCCCUGGGGUUGCUUUCCACCCCUCCUGAGUUCUGGAAAAAUGCCAUGAUGGAAAGGCCAACGGACGGGCGGGAGGUGGAGUGCCACGCAUCCGCCUGGGACUUCUACGAGGGGAAGGACUUCAGGAUAAAGAAGUGCACCGAAGUGACCAUAGAAGAUCUGCUCUCCAUCUUCCACCAGAUGGGCUAUAUCCAGUACUUCCUGCAGUACAAGAACCUCUCUGUGAUCUUCCACACAGAAGAGGAGGUCAGUUUCCUGAUGAACGUUGCCCUGGAGAAGAUCGCCUUCAUCCCCUUCGCCUACCUGGUGGACCUGUUUCGCUGGAAGGUCUUUGACGGCACCAUCGAGAAGGCCGUGUACAGCCAGGAGUGGUGGAACCUCAGGUACUUCCUCAGCUUCGUGCUCCAGUUCCAGUUCCAUGAAGCACUCUGCAAGGCCUCAGGCCACAUGGGGCCCCUGCACUGAUGCGACUUCUAUAACUCCUAGCCGGCUGGGAAGCUCCUGGAGGAUGUCCUAAAGCUGGGCUUCAGCAAGCCCUGGCCAGAGGUCCUGCAGAAGAUAACUGGGGAGACCAAGGUGUCUACAAAGGCCCUCAUGACCUACUUCAGACCCCUGCUGAACUGGCUGGUCACCGAGAAUGUGCGGCGUGGGGACAUCCUGGGCUGGCCAGACUUCAGCUGUUCCUUUGAAGGCAAGGCCCUCAACUUUGGCUUGGAAGGUGGGCGCCAGAGGCUGAGGGAGAAGGCCCGUGGCAGUCAGAUCCUCUCUGAUCACCAUGAGGUACCCUCCCCAGUUCCACCUGCUUGGCAAGAUUCCUGUGUCUUUCACAGAGAAAGAAACAGACAGGGAGGCACUCCUGGGUCUGGAGCUGGACCCUGCCCAGGCCAAAUCUAGGCAGUGGGUGUUGCUGGCCCUGAGCUUUGUCAUGUUACUGGUGGUCCUGUUGCUGGCCUACAGGCUGUACAUCCUGGAAAAAAGCUCACUGGCCCAAGACACCAGAGCGCGGGACACCAGUGCACUCAAGUCACCACCCAAAGCCUGCUUUCUAGGCAUAGCCAUGGAGCCCCACCAAGUUGUCAAAAAACAGUGGCUGCUGCUGGGCCUCUGCCUCAUCCUGAUGCUGUGCUCCAUCGGCCCGACCAUUCGGAUUUUCACACAGCACAACAGGAAGCCCCCGUGGAUGAGAGCUGAAUGGUGGAGCUGGGACUAGACACCAGUGUGACUGGUGAGGCUGGGGGGCAGGAGGAGGGUGGCCUAGCCAGAGAGGAUGUUGGCGAGGUUGAGGAGGGGACCGCUUGCACACAUAGCGCCCAGCUGUAAUUGGGUGCAGCUGUGGCAGAUCUGGGUACAUGCGGAGUUGUAACUGUGUGUAUGUGAACUCAUGUAUGUGAGGCCAUGUGACUGUGUGAUUCCAUGUACGCCCUGGGUUCCAGGCCAACCUCCUUCCCUGGGGGCUCAGGAACCAUGGUUUUAGUGACUCAGGGGCUUUGUCCCUCCAAGCCAUCCCCCAGCCCCAAU